UCCAUGCUAGCGCAGUGGAUAGCGCGUUGGACUUCUAAUCCAAAAGUUCCGGCUUCAAUCCGGCUGUGAUG